AGCAUCCUACGGGAGGCAGCAGUGGGGAAUAUUGCACAAUGGGCGCAAGCCUGAUGCAGCCAUGCCGCGUGUAUGAAGAAGGCCUUCGGGUUGUAAAGUACUUUCAGCAGUGAGGAAGGUGGGUAUGUUAAUAGCAUAUUCAUUUGACGUUAGCUGCAGAAGAAGCACCGGCUAACUCCGUGCCAGCAGCCGCGGUAAUACGGAGGGUGCGAGCGUUAAUCGGAAUUACUGGGCGUAAAGCGCAUGCAGGUGGUUUGUUAAGUCAGAUGUGAAAGCCCGGGGCUCAACCUCGGAAUUGCAUUUGAAACUGGCAAACUAGAGUACUGUAGAGGGGGUAGAAUUUCAGGUGUAGCGGUGAAAUGCGUAGAGAUCUGAAGGAAUACCGGUGGCGAAGGCGGCCCCCUGGACAGAUACUGACACUCAGAUGCGAAAGCGUGGGGAGCAAACAGGAUUAGAUACCCUGGUAG
rnacentral:rRNA from 1 species